GACGAACGCUGGCGGCGUGCUUAACACAUGCAAGUCGAACGGAAAGGCCCGGCUUUUGUGGGGUGCUUGAGUGGCGAACGGGUGAGUAAAACGUGAGUAACCUGCCCCUGUCUUUGGGAUAACUUCAGGAAAAUGGGGCUAAUACCGGAUAGGAGCUCCUGCUGCAUGGUGGGGGAUGGAAAGUUUCGGUGGUUGGGGAUGGAAUAGCGGCUUAUCAGCUUGUUGGUGGGGUAGUGGAGGCCAAAGGCUUUGACGGGUAGCCGGCCUUGGAGGGUGACCGGCCACCUUGGGACUACGGUACGGCCCAGUCUCCUACGGUCGGCAGCGGUGGGGAAUCUUGCACAAUGGGCGGAAGCCUGAUGCAGCAACGCCGCGUUCGUGAUGACGGCCUUCGGGUUGUAAACCGCUUUCGCCUGUGACGAAGCGUGAGUGACGGUAAUGGGUAAAGAAGCACCGGCUAACUACGUG
rnacentral:rRNA from 1 species